UACAGAGACUGCAAGCGUUAUUCGGAUUCACUGGGCGUAAAGGGUGCGCAGGCGGCUAAGUGUGUCAGAUGUGAAAUCCCGAGGCUCAACCUCGGAACUGCGUCUGAAACUACUUGGCUAGAGUAUUGGAGAGGGUAACGGAAUUCACGGUGUAGCAGUGAAAUGCGUAGAUAUCGUGAGGAACACCAGAGGCGAAGGCGGUUACCUGGACAAUUACUGACGCUCAGGCACGAAAGCGUGGGGAGCAAAAGGG
rnacentral:rRNA from 1 species